rnacentral:lncRNA from 1 species
CUUCUACCUCACUGCAGAGCAAAUAGUGUUUGUCAGUAGCAAGAUAGUCUUUUUGGAAAAGAAAUUCUUUAGUGAAGGAGCUAAUGUCUAUAAAAUUAAACUUGAUGAAGUUCAAGAGGUGGAAGGACCGACACACACAAAAUUAGAUUUUAUUGAAGAAUCAAAUCUGGAGCAAGUAGAGGUGCCAUUAAGGAGAUCCAGUAGAGUACCACG